GAGUUUGAUCUGGCUCAGGAUGAACGCUGGCGGCGUGCUUAACACAUGCAAGUCGAACGGGAAAUAUUUCAUUGAGACUUCGGUGGAUUUGAUCUAUUUCUAGUGGCGGACGGGUGAGUAACGCGUGGGUAACCUGCCUUAUACAGGGGGAUAACAGUCAGAAAUGGCUGCUAAUACCGCAUAAGCGCACAGGGCUGCAUGGCUCAGUGUGAAAAACUCCGGUGGUAUAAGAUGGACCCGCGUUGGAUUAGCUUGUUGGUGGGGUAACGGCCCACCAAGGCGACGAUCCAUAGCCGGCCUGAGAGGGUGAACGGCCACAUUGGGACUGAGACACGGUCCAAACUCCUACGGGAGGCAGCAGUGGGGAAUAUUGCACAAUGGGCGAAAGCCUGAUGCAGCAACGCCGCGUGAGCGAUGAAGGCCUUCGGGUCGUAAAGCUCUGUCCUCAAGGAAGAUAAUGACGGUACUUGAGGAGGAAGCCCCGGCUAACUACGUGCCAGCCGCCGCGGUAAUAC
rnacentral:rRNA from 1 species